ensembl:processed_transcript
GGUUCAGUGCUGAGAUCACUGUGUUUGUGCAGACUGGAGAUUCUGUUUAACUGGAUUUACAGACACAACAACUACCAGAGUUUGAUGAUUUAUUCUGGAUAAAUGAUAAAUAUGAAUAUAUAGUUAAAUAUUCUAAUGAAUAUAAGAAGAUUAAAACUUACUCGUCAUAUCAGAACAGAAUAGAGUUUAAUGAAACAAGCUUCUCUCUGACACUGAAGAACAUGCAGAAGGCAGACAGUGGACGAUACACAGCAAGAAUAAACAGAGAUUUAGACAAAGACAUGUUGUAUACAGAGUGUCUGUUAUAGCUGAGUGUCAUUUCUGUGUGUGAUUUAACAUUUUGCUCCAUAAAAGACUAUUCAUAAUUCAUAAAUGUAGUUUAUGUUCAGUUUUUCACUUUCAGAUAUGCAGAUUUAAAUCAGCUUACACCACUUUGUCUUUAGUUCAGGAUUUUAUCUCCUACUGCAGUUAUAAUUGACUAGUUAAUACUCUUGUAUGUGUAUAAAUGGUUUGGUCUUCAGCUUUGACAGUAUAUCGUAUCACUCAGCUGAUUGUGAUCCUGUAAGUGUAAAUGUGUGUUUUAGAUGCAGUGGAGGCUCCUGUUCUGACUGUAAACUCAAUCAGCUGUGACUCCUGUACUGUUAACUUCACAUGCAGAGCUCAAGACCUCAUCAUUAAUAACUCUAGCUAUCAGAACAACCAUUGCUCACCAGAGGAAGUGACAUCACAGCAGAUCAACACCCUCAUCCUGUUCUGCAGUGAGGAAUCGAUCUUCUGUAACUACAGCAAUCCUGUCAGCUGGAAAAAAGAGGAAAUGGAGAUUAAACCACUCUGUAGAGAGAAAGAAAUAUCACUAAAACCCGCCCCUCGUCUAUCUUUCAUUGUGUUGAUUACUGGAGUGAUAAUAAUGAUGAUAGCGUUUGCUGGUUUGAUCCUUUACUGUGUC